rnacentral:rRNA from 1 species
UACGUAGGGUGCGAGCGUUGUCCGGAAUUAUUGGGCGUAAAGAGCUUGUAGGCGGUUUGUCGCGUCUGCUGUGAAAAUCCGGGGCUCAACCCCGGGUCUGCCAUGCCGACUGUCAGGCUCGAGUGCUGUAGGGGCAGGCGGAAUUCCGGGUGUAGCGGUGGAAUGCGUAGAGAUCCGGAGGAAGACCGGUGGCGAAGGCGGCCUGCUGGGCAGUUACUGACACUGAGGCGCGACAGCGUGGGGAGCAAACAGG